AUGGAAAACAAGGACCCGCAGGGACAGGGACCCCGGCGUCUGGCCCCACGGAAAACAAGGACCCGCAGGGACAGGGACCCCGGCGUCCGGCCCCACGGAAAACAAGGACCCGCAGGGACAGGGACCCCGGCGUCCGGCCCCAUGGAAAACAAGGACCCGCAGGGACAGGGACCCCGGUGUCUGGCCCCAUGGAAACAAGGACCCGCAGGGACAGGGACCCCGGCGUCUGGCCCCACGGACCCCGGCGUCCGGCCCCUCGGCCAGGAGGGCCCGCAGGGACAGGGACCCCGGCGUCCGGCCCCACGGACCCCGGCGUCCGGCCCCUCGGCCAGGAGGGCCCGCAGGGACAGGGACCCCCGGCGUCCGGCCCCACGGAAAACAAGGACCCGCAGGGACAGGGACCCCGGUGUCUGGCCCCACGGACCCCAGCGUCCGGCCCCUCGGCCAGGAGGACCCGCAGGGACAGGGACCCCGGUGUCUGGCCCCAUGGAAACAAGGACCCGCAGGGACAGGGACCCCGGCGUCUGGCCCCACAGAAAACAAGGACCCGCAGGGACGAGGACCCCGGCGUCCGGCCCCACGGCCAGGAGGACCCGCAGGGACAGGGACCCCGGCGUCUGGCCCCACGGACCCCCGGCGUCCGGCCCCUCGGCCAGGAGGACCCGCAGGGACAGGGACCCCGGCGUCUGGCCCCACGGAAAACAAGGACCCGCAGGGACAGGGACCCCGGCGUCUGGCCCCCACGGAAAACAAGGACCCGCAGGGACGAGGACCCCGGCGUCCGGCCCCACGGCCAGGAGGACCCGCAGGGACAGGGACCCCGGCGUCUGGCCCCACGGACCCCGGCGUCCGGCCCCUCGGCCAGGAGGACCCGCAGGGACAGGGACCCCGGCGUCUGGCCCCACGGAAAACAAGGACCCGCAGGGACGAGGACCCCGGCGUCCGGCCCCACGGCCAGGAGGACCCGCAGGGACAGGGACCCCGGCGUCUGGCCCCACGGACCCCGGCGUCCGGCCCCACGGCCAGGAGGACCCGCAGGGACGAGGACCCCGGUGUCUGGCCCCACGGACCCCGGCGUCCGGCCCCACGGCCAGGAGGACCCGUCCCCACCUGCUGCAGUAGCUGCAUGCGCAGCGCCCGGUCAGGGGAGGAGAAGAGGCGGACGAUGACCGGGACGAUGCGCUCCUGGUACUCGGGGGGGUCCAGCACCUUCGCCACCUGCGGGGAUGGGGACGGGUGAUGCCGGGGGGUGACGCCGGGGUGGGGGGGGACACGGGGGCGGGGGAGGACCCCCACCUUGAGGAGGGGGGGCAGGGCGCUGGCGUCGGCGCUGCCGAACUCGAGGGCCGCCAGCAGCCGGGGCAGCAGCUUGUGGCGGCGGAAGGGGCCGGGGAGGGCGUCCAGGCGGCCGCUCAGCUCCUGCAGGAAGGUCCGGCGCUCCGAGGCAUCCCGGACCUGGGGGGGGCCGGGGAGGGCGUCAGGGGGUGGGGGGGACAGGGACAGGGAGGGGGAGAGGGAUGGGGGCACAGG
rnacentral:lncRNA from 1 species